CAGCACCUCAAGUGGUCAGGAUGAUUAUUGGGCUUAAAGUGUCCGUAGCCGGUUUAGUAAGUUCCUGGUAAAAUCGGGUAGCUUAACUAUCUAUAUGCUAGGAAUACUGCUAUACUAGAGGGCGGGAGAGGUCUGAGGUACUACAGGGGUAGGGGUGAAAUCUUAUAAUCCUUGUAGGACCACCAGUGGCGAAGGCGUCAGACUGGAACGCGCCUGACGGUGAGGGACGAAAGCCAGGGGAGCGAACCGGAUUAGAUACCCGAGUAGUCC
rnacentral:rRNA from 1 species